UUCCUCUUCCAACCAGGUCCCACCUGCUGCACGUUCAGCUGCAACACCCCCAUAGUCCAAUGACCUUUCCAAAGCCCCACCUUUCUACGCAUGAGGCCUUGGGGGAGACAUCCAGAUUUAAACCACAACAGCAGAGAUCCGGCCUAACGCCUUGAGUCAUUAGGAAAUGAAGCCUCUUGCAAGGUCAUUCCCACCUCACCUUUUCUGCUCAUUCUUCCUGGAAGAAUUUAAUUAGCUGGAGUUUCCACAGCUUCUACCUGUAGGACUUCAGUGACGCUGCUGUUCCUCCCUCUCUGCACACACAACCCCUUUGGAGAUGGCACAGAUCGAUAAUGGCGAGGCUUCUGAUCCAGGGCCAGGACGAGCACAAAUUCAAAACAAGUGCAGCCUUCGCUGGUGAAACUGAACCCUAGUGAAACCAGAGGCAGUUUCACUUGCUCUCAGCUCCCCAGAAAAAUUCCUGUAAGCAAACAAAAUAAAUGAAACCCUGUGGGCCUUCCUUCCUGUUAAACUGGCCCUCGGCCCUGGUCCGAGUCUCUUAUUUUUAAAAUUUCUAGCUGGCUCAACCUCUGGUAUUUCUGAC